rnacentral:rRNA from 1 species
UACAGAGGGUGCGAGCGUUGUCCGGAAUCACUGGGCGUAAAGGGCGCGUAGGUGGCGACCCAAGUCGAUGGUGAAAGCUCGCCGCUCAACGGCGAGUCGGCCACCGAUACUGGGUUGCUGGAGCACUGUAGAGGCAGAUGGAAUUCCGGGUGUAGCGGUGGAAUGCGUAGAGAUCCGGAAGAACGACCGGUGGCGAAGGCGGUCUGCUGGGCAGUUGCUGGACAC